CCUCUGAUUGUCUGCUUUCUGUAACCAGUCAGACUGAUUGCAGGCUAUCACUUCAUUUACAUGAGGUGAGCAUGAAGUGGCUGAUGGGAAACACCUAGGUGGUAUGUGGAACCAAGAAGAUUCUGUAUCCAGACCCUCCAGCCACUGCUCGGGCCUGCUCCCACACUGUGGAGUGUACUUUCAUUUUCAAUAAAUCCCUGCUUUCGUUCUUUUGUUGCUUCAUUCUUUGCUUUGCUGGGCAUUUUGUCCAAUUCUUUGUUCAAAAUGCCAAGAACCUGGACAACUUGCAGUAAGGACCCUCUACCAGUGACAUAUCUUUGCAAUCCAGCCAGGAGAAAAGUACCCUCGUGGACAGCACUUAAGCAUGGAGGCAACUAAGUUUCUGGCCAGGGCCACUCUCUGGUGAAACUAAAAGUUUCCACGUGGAAGCACCUGACUGCUACCACCCAGUUCAGAGACCAUCACGCUUCAGAUGAUCAUGUGACAAGGUUUCCAGCCAGCUCCAGGUGAAGGCACCACCCCCCCAGCCAUCAAGGAGCCACCUGUCUCCACUAGACAGAAUAGGGCUUCUGGACCUGUGAUGGGAGGAGCUGCCAUGAAGACCUCUGACAUACCCUGGGGCCUCAGCCAUGAACCUAGUGAAGAGUGAGGAAAACACGUCUUUACCUCCUUCACCACGAGAAAGCUGUGGAAGACAAAGCAGUGAAAUAGAACAGCCCUCUGGGGUCCCAACAACCUGGGCAGAAGGUUGUGGGGAAGGUCUCACUUGAACUGGUUCUGACUAAGUGAGCCUUGUGUUCUCUGGACUUGGUGAAUAUUGAAACCACAUAUUCCUCAUAUUCAUGGAACAUGUUUCAAGGGAGAAAACAUAAUUUCCUUUUUAGGUUCUUAGUCAAGACACUCUCCUGAAAACAAGUUGUAUUAACAAAAGAAAAACAGAAGUUUGUUAACACGUGUUGUACCCAUCAUGUGGGACCUGUGUCAGUCUGAAAGUAUUUCUCUCUCAAGGCAGCAGCUUAGGGGUCUUAUUUAAACAGUACUUUAACAAAGAGCCAUAAAUCCUAUAGAGACAAGGACAAAGAAGCAGGCAGGAAAAUGUGGGAAGGUAAAUUUAUGAGAAAAGUACAGUCUGCUCCUAGAUGCUAUGGUGCUGCUGUCUCUGAGCUCUGUGCCUGAGCUGAUAAAGGCAGACGGGAGAGGCAGACUGUGCCCUUGCACUUUAACCUUUUAGCUUUAACUAAAAUCCCCAGGAUUUUAGAGAAGAAUAUUUUUUUUUUGCUUCAUUCAACUUCAAUAAACUAUGAAAAUCCCAUCAUGAGCACUCACGUCACAAGCACCACACUCCUUCUGGUCACACCAUUCUAACCUUUCCAUGCCAUGUGACAUCUUCGUUAGCCUCCAAUAAUCAGAUGUCUCCUCCCUGGGUAUGCUGCUUUGGUCCCUCUGCCCUCUGCGCAGACCUAUUGAACACUCCAAGCCAGAUCCCUCUCCUACAUGGCUUAUAUCUGGUCCACACACACACUCAGACAUCCUUUUCCCUGACAUGGGAAGGCAGGCUAAUCCCAAGGCUGCCCGGAUCUGGCCCUUCUUUCCACAUCAGAAUUUCUCAGACUGGCAUCUUCUGUUGCCAAACUGAGCUUGGAUCAGCCUGCUUGGCAAGGCAAGGCCAAACACUGACAUUGGGACUGCAGUGGAAGAAGUGAGGCAUUUAUUGCAGGAUGCCAACCAAGGAGAUCAGGCAGCAGCUAAUGCUUACCACCUGAACUCCCUAAUGUCUUACAGGUCAGAGUUGUUUUUGUUUUUUGUUUUUAAGACAGAGUCUUGCUCUGUCACCCAGGCUGGAGUACACUGGUGAGAUUACUGCUAACUGCAGCCUCAACCUCCAAGACCCAGGUGAUCCUCCUUCAGCCUUAAAAGUAGCUGGGACCACAGGCAUGUGCCACCACACCUGGCUAAUUUUUUUUAAUUAUUUGUAGAGGCAGGGAUUCCCUAUGUUGCCUAGGCUGAUCUCUAACUCCUGGGCUCAAAUGAUUCUCCCACCUUAGCCUCCCAAAGUACUGGGAUUACAGGCAUGAGCCACCCUACCUGGCCAGGUAAAAGUUUUUAAAGCAGAGAGGCAGAGGUUAUAGGCACAGUUAUAAAUCAAUGCAUGGAAGUUAUACAUUGGAUUGACCUAAAAAGGCAAGAUAUCUCUAAGCAGGGGCCCACAGGUCAUAGAUGGAUUAAAAGAUUUUCUGAUUUGCAAUUGGUUAAGAAGACAAAGCUUUGUCUAAAAAUGCAGGAUCAGCAAAGACUGAGAUCUGGCUCAUGGGUGUGAAUUCCAGGCUUCUCAGGAAAUUUAGAACAAAGAACAGUGGGCAGAACCCAGUCCUCAGUUCCUCCUCAUCUGCGGUCUGUGCACUAGUAGAUACAUGUGAUGGGGGCCUGGGUUUCUGAAAAAUAACAUAUGUUAAGAAAUUAUUUUUAGCUUUUAUAGGGAGCCAAAUAUAUGCUAACUCUAACUUCCUUGCCUAUUGUUUUAAGCUACUAUUACCUUCUUGCUUAUGAUAUUGGUCAUCUACUUCUCAUAACUAGCUAGGUGGUCAGAAUUCCCUGGAAGAAACUCAAGAUUUUUAUUCAUUUUCAUUCUUGGACUGCCCACAAGCCCCUAAGAAGGGUCAAGGGUAAGGAGGUCAAGGGUCAUGAAGCCGUUUCUUUACAUUUCCCUUGAAGAAUCACUCUAAGGUAAUUGGGCACCACACUGGAAUUUCAUGUUUAUCCUAUGUUAGUGCUUAGUGGGAUCUUCAGUUUUCACAUUGUUACGUAAAAGAAAGGGCAAGGCCAGCUGUGUCAGCCAGGACUUGGUGUCUGAGGGUGAGGGAUCAUACACAAAGAAUGCUGAAGCAGAGUAAGCCAAAGAUGCACGAGCUUUGAAAGUAUCCAAGCCAAAAAGUCAGAAAACACACACACUGCGGCAGGACCUAGGGCAGGAAGGGCAUCAUAAACAUGGGACAGAAUAAAACAUCAGAAUCUGAACCAAAAUUAAGUUGGAAUAAGAAAAAGCAAUGAGUGAGAUUUGGGGCCAUUUCAGCCCAUAAUCCAGUGCUUAAUAAGAUGAAAAACAGAAGUGAGUAUUUUACUUUAAUUUCCUACAGCAAGUUAGUUCUCUGGUUAAGGUAGAUACAACCAAAUUCUCUGGAAAUGGCAACCAGUCCCUAGAGAUUUAUGUUAGACAAGAUAUAGACUCCCAACACUACCCAUUCCCCUACAACAGGAAAACAGCAUUCCCAAACCCAGAAGCUGCUGGUCUUAGAAGCUCAAGUUUCAUGAUAGUCAACCUACUUGGAAACAGCUUUCAUCCUCAUAACCACUCCUCUCCCAUCUCAAUAUUCGUUGUCUCUGCUCAUCCGCCAUAUCAAAGGGUGGCACUUGAAUGCUCAUUCCCACCAAUAAUCGAACUAAUGAGAGCUUAGUCCAUGGUGUUUUAGUAACAAUCUUCUAACAGUGUUUAGGAAAUGGAAAUUGUCUGCUGCUCCCACACUCAGCCUAUAACUGCAUGCUCAGUGGGCCUGACUGAACUCUGGACCACCAGACAGGUGUUAGCAAGGAAAGCAAGGUCGUAUAGUGUGUCUUUUAGUACCAGUGGCCACUAUGGUUUUACUGUAUUUAAUGCAUUUAAAGCUGGUGACUUCUACCUACUAUCCACCUAUCUUCUUAUCUACCUUUCUUCGUAUUUACCUACCUACCUAUACUAGUUUGUUAUGGCUGCCAUUACCUACCACAAACUGGGUGACUUAGAACAACAGAAAUUUGUUCUCUCACAAUUCUGGAAACUAGCAGCCUGCAACAGUGUUAGCAGGGCUGGUUCCCUCUAAGGGGUAUGUUGUAGUUUGAAGAUGCCAGGUGCUGAAACUUAAUGGCCAAUGCCAUAGCAGUAAGAGGUGCAGCCUCUAAGAGGUGGUUAGGCUGUAAGGGCUCCUCCCUCAUGAAUGGGAUUAAGACCCUUAGAAAAGAGGUGUCAAGCAGUGUUCUGCCCUUUGCACCUGCCCUUCUCUAUUUAAGGACACAGUGUUCCUCCUCUCAGGAGGAUACAGCAAGAUGGCAGGCAGCACCUUGCAGACAGAGACCAUGCCCCUCACGUCUUGAUCUUGGACUUCCCAGCCUCCAGAACUGUAAGAAAUAAAUUUCUGUUCAUUAUAAAUUACUUGUUCUAUAGCAUUUUGUUAUAGCAGUACA